CAAUAGCGUAUAUUAAAGUUGUUGCAGUUAAAAAGCUCGUAGUUGGAUUUGUGGCUCGUCCUGUCGGCCUUGGGACUUUGUCCCUUUGGCUGUACGGGUCGGCCAUGUUUGGGUGGAUCCUGUGUGGCAUUAGGUUGUCGCGCAGGGGAUGCCCAUCGUUUACUGUGAAAAAAUUAGAGUGUUCAAAGCAGGCUUAUGCCGUUGAAUAUAUUAGCAUGGAAUAAUGAUAUAGGACCUUGGUACUAUUUUGUUGGUUUGCGCACUGAGGUAAUGAUUAAUAGGGACAGUUGGGGGUAUUCGUAUUCCAUUGUCAGAGGUGAAAUUCUUGGAUUUUUGGAAGACGAACUACUGCGAAAGCAUUUACCAAGGAUGUUUUCAUUAA
rnacentral:rRNA from 1 species